AUAACAAAUACAUUGGUUGUAAUAGGGAACAAGUACCUUAACAAAAGAAGUCCAACAAUGAUUAUGUUCAAAGUCUUAAAAUGGCGCACCCAUAAAGACUCUGAUGAAUUUACUAACGAUAUUGCAUUGAUCUUCCCUGCUGGCUAUAUGGAACCCGAAUAUGGAGGUAUUGCAUUUCUGCCUCUCAACAAGGAACAGUUACAUGAGGGUACCCUGUGUCUAGUGUGCGGCUGGGGUCAUUCUCAUCACAUUAAUUGAUUGCCAUUCUAUACUUAAGUCUGCUUCACGUGAUACGAAUUCCCUGCAAGGAUUAUACGUACCGAUUAUCAAUGCCGAGACUUGUGACAAGCUUUUUCAUAUACCUGGUACCAUUUGCGCCGGACUUGAAACGAUGGCUGGGCCCAGCAUUGGUGAUUCAGGUGGACCCUUGAGAUGCGAUAAUAAACUGGCGGGUGUCGUCUCCUUGUGAUCAACUACGGGUGGUCCAAGCGUGUAUUCAAGUAUACAGUUUCAUGCGGAUUGGAUGAACAGGAAGAGUUUUUCUUCGUACAAUGGGAUAUUGUCGCUUCGAUCGUUUAGCAUCCAGAUAGAAGUUGUCUUGGCUUUCAUCAUCUAUGUGGCUUUUAGCUACUAGUUGGCUGACGCUUAAGACGUGAAAGUGUUUUAUUUGUAUUUAUGAUUUUGAUUCAAUCGGUUCUAUGUAACACGAUGCCAGGAAAAGUUGAAGUUUAGGUCAAAUUUGUUUACAUUCCGCUUGGAAACUGGGUCAUUGUGAGCGCGUGCAAGCGAGAUGGCAUAACAAUGUUGUUAUGCGAUUGUUCGCCGCUGGGACACAGCUUGAAAUCGCCAGCAACUCGAUGGCAACGUGGGGCAUGCCCCACCACCGGCGAUAACAACAACAAGCCCAAAGAUAAUAACAAAAAUCAAAACAAAACACAGCAAAAAAAUUGCUUAACGUUAAAAUGAUCUUACUAUUCCGAGGGAAAUAUUAAACAAAUAAAGUCC